UAUUUUCAUGGAUUUCUGUACAUGAUAAGAGGAUUUUCCCUUCUGAAUCUCUUACCACAACUCCGGAGGCCGAGCGGUUCUGGCUUUUAUCGAAGGCCCCGUCAAAAUUGAUCUUAAUGAACCCUCCCUGUGGCCUUUUCCAUCUUAUUUUCCCCCCGAGUGCACAACAGAAGAGUCUACUGUGAUAAAGGUUAAGCUUCUCCAGCACCCAGCAGGACAGUCACGAAAAAGAUGAUUCAUUGUUUCAGCUCCUUCACCGCAACGGGGACAACUUUGGUUAACUGUUAACUUUCGAUGCUGAAGGUUCACCUUUGUAGGCAAAUAGUUCCACGAUAACCUCCAUAUUGUGACCUUUAUUUUUGUUGGUAGACUUAGGCUCCAAAGUUUUUUGUAAAAAUUUCUGUAGAUGGUUUGUAAAGCAUAAGCUCUAAGAUUGUCAAUCGAUCUCUGUAAUAGUUUGUAGGCGCUUCUGACCGUAAAUUCACCUGACAUCUCACCUUCCCAGAACAGAAAUUCUUCGUGCGGUGUUUGCACCAGAGGGAUUCUGAGGAUUCUUGCAGCAUCUUCUUCCGUAAAGGUGCAAUUUCUGUACAAUCAUGAAGACUGUGCCCCAACAUUCCACCCCCAAAGCAAAAAGUCUGCAGCUUUUCAUACUUGAAUGGAAUCCAAAAUUUAUUUCCAUUCCCUAUUGAAACAAAAAUACCCCUGUGAAGGGGUCUCUGUACAUUUAAUUUCACUCUAAGACGGCAAAACUCACCCAGUAUUUCAGAUCUGAGCACCCUUCCAAAAGUAACACCUACUGCAUGUAGCAGAUCUUUUUUGUCAAACUCUGGUAAGCAAGGCCCGAUUUUAAUCCAAAACGGAGAUGAAACAAGCCUGAUUUGAUCUCUCGCCAUUGAUUUACUCAAUCGAUCAAAAAGGAUUAAUUACUUCAUAAACAACCAUGGCUGACCUUCCAAGACCGUCUUUAAAUCCUCUUCUGAUUCAAACGAUAUCAUAAAAAGAUUUUGUCCUACCCCUUGAAUCCCAAAUUUCUUCUUUGUCUUCCAAAUGCUCAUCAUCUGUGCUUUGAAGCUCUCCUGAUUAUAAGAUUUCUUAGUCCAUAUAGAACAUAUUAGAGAAAACUUCCCGUUUGGUUCCACCAUCGAACUCUUUACCGAAAGUUGAAUAAGCUCCUCUGUUAAUAGGGAGAUCUCGUCUCCUCCCAACCCAUCGUUACCACCACUCUCCAUCAU